rnacentral:rRNA from 1 species
UGCAGUCGAGCGAUGGAUUAAGAGCUUGCUCUUAUGAAGUUAGCGGCGGACSGSUGAGUAACACGUGGGUAACCUGCCCAUAAGACUGGGAUAACUCCGGGAAACCGGGGCUAAUACCGGAUAACAUUUUGMACUGCAUGGUKCGAAAUUGAAAGGCGGCUUCGGCUGUCACUUAUGGAUGGACCCGCGUCGCAUUAGCUAGUUGGUGAGGUAACGGCUCACCAAGGCAACGAUGCGUAGCCGACCUGAGAGGGUGAUCGGCCACACUGGGACUGAGACACGGCCCAGACUCCUACGGGAGGCAGCAGUAGGGAAUCUUCCGCAAUGGACGAAAGUCUGACGGAGCAACGCCGCGUGAGUGAUGAAGGCUUUCGGGUCGUAAAACUCUGUUGUUAGGGAAGAACAAGUGCUAGUUGAAUAAGCUGGCACCUUGACGGUACCUAACCAGAAAGCCACGGCUAACUACGUGCCAGCAGCCGCGGUAAUACGUAGGUGGCAAGCGUUAUCCGGAAUUAUUGGGCGUAAAGCGCGCGCAGGUGGUUUCUUAAGUCUGAUGUGAAAGCCCACGGCUCAACCGUGGAGGGUCAUUGGAAACUGGGAGACUUGAGUGCAGAAGAGGAAAGUGGAAUUCCAUGUGUAGCGGUGAAAUGCGUAGAGAUAUGGAGGAA